UACGUAGGGGGCGAGCGUUGUCCGGAUUUACUGGGUGUAAAGGGCGCGUAGGCGGAACGGUAAGUCAGUGGUGAAAUCUUGCGGCUUAACCGCAAAACUGCCGUUGAUACUGCUGUUCUUGAGUAUAGGAGAGAGAGGCGGAAUUCCAGGUGUAGUGGUGAAAUACGUAGAUAUCUGGAAGAACACCAAUUGCGAAGGCUGCUUCUUGGCCUAUUACUGACGCUGAGGCGCGAAAGCGUGGGGAGCAAAC
rnacentral:rRNA from 1 species